rnacentral:rRNA from 1 species
UACGGAGGAUGCAAGCGUUGUUCGGAAUCACUGGGCUUAAAGAGCAUGUAGGUGGGGUGUCAGGCGUCGGGUGAAAUCCCUCGGCUCAACCGAGGAACUGCCUGGCGAACCGGCAUUCUUGAGGCAGGUAGAGGUGGCUGGAACGACGGUGGAGCGGUGAAAUGCGUAGAUAUCGUCUGGAACGCCAAAGGUGAAAACAGACAGCUGGGAGUGUGCUGACGCUGAGACACGAAAGCCAGGGGAGCGAACGGG